AUUUUUUUCAUUCAUGGUUAGUGAUUGGGUGAAGCCAUUUAUUGGCAAACAACAGUGUUUACUCUUUUCAGAUCAUACUGACAACAGAAACCACCCAAAUGAACAUGAUCAAAAGUUUACACAAUUCUUAAUAUGGUGCAUUGCCCCCUUUAACAUCAAUGACAGCUUGGAGUCUUUUGUGGUAGUUGUGGACAAGGCUCUCUGAUGGUAAAGCUGCCACUGAAUAUGUUUUGGACUUUAUUUACAUCGAUUAUGAAGGAAUACAAACAAUAUAGCAUUCUAUGGUAAAUCUGCAUGGAGUAGACAGUUCUCAAAAACUGAGUGACUGUGCAAGAAAUAGAAGA